AGAAGUCCGUGUCAUUGCCCCGACGACACCGAGCUCUAAAGUACACGCACAUAAAAAACGGCUUAAUCGUACUACAGACGCGUAUGGUUGCUUAAUUGGACACCUGGCCGCCCGCGUCGUUGUGAUGGACUUCCGCCACCAACUUUACUUCCCGAAGUGGACUCCAUUUUCACAAAGAUGCUCGAAUCCAAUUGUGCAGCAAACAACUUCUUUGACGUACGUUUGGACGGAGGUCUGGCUUGAAGAAUUCUGCCCUUGAUGGACAUUAGAGGGAGCGGCCAUUUUGCUUGGCCUGCAGCGCGGCGGCGGGUCCCUCAGGGAAAUGUCGGCCUAAACUGGCAGGUCUGAAGUGAUUAUGUGAGCACGCUUGGAAGAGAGCCAUGCCUUCGGGUCCUGUGGGAGACCUGAACGCUCUUUGACGCUACAGAGGAGGAGUGAGAGCCGCUGGAGGAAAGAUGCAAACUCGCCGUCUGGUCCGCCCACGCCGGCUCUCUCGACUCGCCAAGAAACCUCGGCAGCGGACGCACGGGAAGAGGGAUUGGGACGCAGAGUCCAGCUGGCCCGACGGCGGAGUCAGCCAACGAAACAGAUGUGCCAGAGACUUUGAUGUAGGAUGCCGUCGGUGUUGUCAAGGAUACCAAAUGAGGCAAAAAUAACAAGGGAGUUUGCAAUUGUCGCUCUCAAAGUAUCUGAAGAACACAAAUGCUGAGGAGCCGGAUGAACACCGGCGACGCCCCACAACCUGGACAAGAUGGCCGACAACCCUUGGGCAGAGGCUGACGAGC